rnacentral:rRNA from 1 species
UACGUAGGGGGCGAGCGUUGUCCGGAUUUAUUGGGCGUAAAGAGCUCGUAGGCGGUUUGGCAAGUCGGGUGUGAAAACUCCGGGCUCAACUCGGAGACGCCACUCGAUACUGCCAUGACUCGAGUCCGGUAGGGGAGUGCGGAAUUCCUGGUGUAGCGGUGAAAUGCGCAGAUAUCAGGAGGAACACCGGUGGCGAAGGCGGCACUCUGGGCAGGUACUGACGCUGAGGAGCGAAAGCGUGGGGAGCGAACAGG